rnacentral:rRNA from 1 species
CAUCCUACGGGGGGCAGCAGUCGGGAAUAUUGCGCAAUGGAGGAAACUCUGACGCAGUGACGCCGCGUAUAGGAAGAAGGUUUUCGGAUUGUAAACUAUUGUCGUUAGGGAAGAUAAAAGACUGUACCUAACGAAUAAGCACCGGCUAACUCCGUGCCAGCAGCCGCGGUAAUACGGAGGGUGCAAGCGUUACUCGGAAUCACUGGGCGUAAAGAGCGCGUAGGCGGGAUAGCAAGUCAGAUGUGAAAUCCUAUGGCUUAACCAUAGAACUGCAUUUGAAACUGUUAUUCUAGAGUAUGGGAGAG